CAGCUCCCUAAAAACCUGUUGCCUAUCACCCUCUUGGGCAAAGCAUGUGAGCCAUUUCCUCCUUUCAGUGGUCCAUGAAAGUACAUCUAUAGUACGUAGAUAAUAAAGUCAACAAAAGGUGGCCACCAUUUUUAUAGAACUAUAGAUGUUAUAGGCUGGGUGUGACAAGGAAUGGCUGGGAGGGGAAGGGCCAGGCAAGGCACCCCUUGAUGUGACAUAUAGACAUGCUA